CAUCGACAUAUAAAUAGCCCGUAAAACAGAUGUAGUAACAGCCACAACGACUGAGCUUUAUACGUGAGACUACACAUCACAGAAGGUCGCAAUCAUCUGCCAUGCAUUUAGACUUUCUUCAGCUUGGCUCUGCUCUUGACUGGUUCCCAGGUACCACAUGACGAUUCCCAAAAGUCGCAAUCUUCAUUCCCUCCCCAGACGCCAGACAAGGUCAAAAACUGAACACCAGCACAUCGCAGUUAGUCUCUCUCCACCUCGCUCUGGAGGCAGACUGUUACAUAAUAUUGACCGGCGAACAGGAAUCGCUCAUUACCAUGAUUUGUCUCCCUUUGCUACUUGCUCUCUGUGUCUUCACGGGCAACGUUGCAUCGUUCCUCGAGGAACCGUGUGUAGGACUGGGCCGAAAGUGCGACCCUGAAGCAGUCUAUGGACAAGCUGGUCACUGCUGUAUCCAUGGGAUGUGCAGUAAGGUGGAGCAGACUGAAGGCGAUGUGGAGUACGCUUGUCAUGUGAUCCGACCAUAAUGAGCAUGAACCUCCGGGAGUUCCAAACUUUGUGCACGAGUCAGCCCUUACGAAAACAUAUUGAUAAUGGUAAAUAGUCAAACAUUUCUUUAAUGUGCACAUUUCUCGCAGUUUGGCAUUCAGGAUUGAAUCUACGCGAUAAACGGUAAAUAAAAUUUUACCUUUACAUCGAAUGGUGAUCAUUGUUUGAAUAGCUGCUGUGUAUGAUAUGUGCUCGCAGUCAAUAAAAUAAAAUAAAAUAAAAUAAAAUAAAAUAAAAUAAAAUAAAAUAAAAUAAAAUAAAAUAAAAUAAAAUAAAAUAAAAUAAAAUAAAAUAAAAUAAAAUAAAAUAAAGAAUGAAUAAAUCAACAAAGGCUAGCAGUGCUAAACGAUGUAACCCCUCUUUCUUAAUCACAGACUAGAUAUCAGUAAGUCCGUAGAACAUUUCGUAAUGGUUGUGGGGUGGAGGGGUAUGGUUCCCUAUUGCCAAACAUUUGAAUUUUCAAUUUUAACCUUUGUCUUAAAGGUAAGUCACGCACCACAUGGCGAUUCCCAGGUUAAGGACUUCAGUCCGAUAUCUUUCUCUAGAUAUGUCAGGGUCAUAGGUUGCAUACAAACAUCGCUGCUAGUCACCCUGAUGUAAUCUUGACUCCAGACCGCGCACUUGCCGAAGCUGUGGACAUUGUCAUCCUAACAGAGAACUGUAAACAGAUCGCUGAUCGCCAUGAUUUCUCUACCUUUGCUGCUCGUUCUUUGCGUCUUUACCGGCGAAGUCGCAUCUUUGCUCGACUUAACGUGUGUUGGUUUCGGCCAGAAGUGUGACCCCGAGGCAGUAUCAGGUCAAGAGGGUCACUGUUGUAACUUUGGCAGGUGUUGGGCUCAACAUCUGACCGACGGCAGUGUAGACUACGUAUGUCGACCGAUACUUCCAAUCCUCCCUUGAGGAGCCUCAACCCUCUGUGACCUCGCAGCCUUUAACAAUUUCGUGAAGACUUUCAACAACAAAAAACUGUAUUGAUCCCUGUAUUAAGAUAUAAUUUUCGAAUGCUACUUUACUAAGAAAUCGCUGAAUAAAAAUAAUAUUUCAGACGAUA